AUACGGAGGGUGCAAGCGUUAAUCGGAUUUACUGGGCGUAAAGCGCGCGUAGGCGGCUAAUUAAGUCAAAUGUGAAAUCCCCGAGCUUAACUUGGGAAUUGCAUUCGAUACUGGUUAGCUAGAGUGUGGGAGAGGAUGGUAGAAUUCCAGGUGUAGCGGUGAAAUGCGUAGAGAUCUGGAGGAAUACCGAUGGCGAAGGCAGCCAUCUGGCCUAACACUGACGCUGAGGUGCGAAAGCAUGGGGAGCAAACAGGAUUAGAUACCCGAGUAGUCC
rnacentral:rRNA from 1 species